CGAUAACGAACGAGACCUCGGCCCUUAAAUAGCCCGGUCCGCAUUUGCGGGCCGCUGGCUUCUUAGGGGGACUAUCGGCUCAAGCCGAUGGAAGUGCGCGGCAAUAACAGGUCUGUGGUGCCCUUAGAUGUUCUGGGCCGCACGCGCGCUACACUGACAGGGCCAGCGAGUUUAUCACCUUGUCCGAAAGGACUGGGUAAUCUUGUGAAACCCUGUCGUGCUGGGGAUAGAGCAUUGCAAUUAUUGCUCUUCAACGAGGAAUGCCUAGUAGGCACGAGUCAUCAGCUCGUGCCGAUUACGUCCCUGCCCUUUGUACACACCGCCCGUCGCUACUACCGAUUGAAUGGGU
rnacentral:rRNA from 1 species